GCAGAGGUAGCUUACUUGGUAGAACAUGAGACUCUUAAUCUCGGGGUCAUGGGUUCGAGUCCCGCAUUGGGCA